GAUGAACGCUGGCGGCGUGCCUAACACAUGCAAGUCGAGCGAAAAGAUGAGGAGCUUGCUCCUCUGACGUUAGCGGCGGACGGGUGAGUAACACGUGGAUAACCUACCUAUAUGACUGGGAUAAUAACGGGAAACCGGAGAUAAUACUGGAUAAUAUAUUGAACCGCAUGGUUCAAUAGUGAAUGACGGCUUUGCUGUCACUUAUAGAUGGAUCCGCGCCGCAUUAGCUAGUUGGUAAGGUAACGGCCUACCAAGGCAACGAUGCGUAGCCGACCUGAGAGGGUGAUCAGCCACACUGGAACUGAGACACGGUCCAGACUCCUACGGGAGGCAGCAGUAGGGAAUCUUCCGCAAUGGGCGAAAGCCUGACGGAGCAACGCCGCGUGAGUGAUGAAGGUCUUCGGAUCGUAAAGCUCUGUUAUUGGGGAAGAACAGAUGUAGAAGUAACCAUGCACGUCUUGACGGUACCUAAUCAAAAAGCCACGGCUAACUACGUG
rnacentral:rRNA from 1 species